GUGGGCGUGGGUGGAGCUCAGGCCUGUUCUGUACAUGUUGUCAAUGUUUGGAUUCGUGGUGGAGAAUGUUGUCUUUUGCAGUGAGUGUAUGUUUUUACUCACUCGCUCAAGUUUAAGAUCCAGAUUAUAACACAAAUGCUCGUUGUUUCCCAGUGACGGAUGCCAGGACCAAAGCGCUGCCCCGUUACGAGCCGGAGAGGUACCUUGUGACCUGUGUCCCGUCCCACGCCCCGCGCUCAAGUCCUGCGUGAAGUGCCUCUCCUCCUACUGUGACUUCCAUUUGCAGCCGCAUUACCAGGACGCGGAGCUGGGGCGCCACCUGCUGGUCGACGUGGUGAAGAACCUGGAGGGCCCGUGUGUAAAGUGCACGGGAGGCAGCUGGAGAGGUUUUGCAGGACUGACCAGACGUGCAUCUGUGCCAUAUGCGCCCAGACUGACCACAGGGGGCACCGCGCCGUCACUGUGAAGAAAGAGGCCAUGCGGAAGAAGGUUCAGCUAAGGCGCAAACAUUCCAGGCUUGCACAGACGAUACAGGGGAGACUGGCCGAGGUGGACGAGCUAAAGUCGACCGCUGAGAUUGAAAACAACAAAGACCUCAUGAUGGAGCUGGAGGAGGACACUGCCGAGCUGCAGAGGAGACGCGACCAGCUGGACCAACUCCUGCAGAUGGACGACAAUCUGCACUUUCUACAGGUUAGCUUUGCUUUGGCACGUUAUUUAUCAUAGCAAUGCUUUACAGAAUGUCAUGUUGUUGAUCUUUUUCUCCCCACAGAGAUUUUUGCUCGCCGCUCCAUUGUGACUGCUGGACGGACACAAUCAAGCUUACAAGCUCAAACCACUUUUUCCUCCCACAAUGAUGGACAUUGAACAGCCUCAAGCUUCAGACAAUUUCCUCCAGUGACAGCAACACAGCCUUCACAACACUCUCAGGGACUCUGUUCGUGAUCGUAUUUGCUGAUUUGAAAAUGCACAUGUGAAUGGUUAUGGGUGACUGUGUGUAAGGUUGAAACAAAAUAAAUGUGAAAACGUCCUAUUUUUUUAAUGGAUUUUGGUGUGAAUUAAAUGGUACAGGUUUUUAACCAAAUAGAAGUGUGUAGGCUAACCACUAAACAAGGCAAACAACAUCAACAAAACCAAACAAAUAAUAAAACAACUAAUAUUUUUUACGGUGGAAAUGGGAAUGCCAAUAAUAAUGGGUCAUGGUGAUUACAUAAUACUUAAUAACUAACUCAAUAUUCAAUUAAUAGAAUAGUGACGGGUGUUUAUAAGUAAUGAUUGGUAGGCACUUAUAAGCUUUCUUGCUUCGGCCUACUCCUUUUGAGUUUUUGCUACUUUUUUGUUACUUUAUUUAUUUCUGCACUGCUACAAUAAAUAAUGUAAAUAAUCACUCAAAUAAAUUUCACUAAACUAAACUAGGCUGGUUAUUUGAGCAGUUAUAAACCAGUUGUACUUUAACUCCUGGCAAUGUUCUCAGGGACUCGUUGAUGUUUACAACUGAUAUAAAUGAAAAUACUCUGUUCGUGAUCGUAUUUGCUGAUUUGAAAAUGCACAUGUGAAUGGUUAUGGGUGACUGUGUGUAUGGUUGAAACAAAAUAAAUGUGAAAACGUCCUAUUUUUUUUUAAUGGAUUUUGGUGUGAAUUAAAUGGUACAGGUUUUUAACCAA
ensembl:lncRNA